GAUGAACGCUGGCGGCGUGCCUAAUACAUGCAAGUCGAGCGAACGGACGAGAAGCUUGCUUCUCUGAUGUUAGCGGCGGACGGGUGAGUAACACGUGGAUAACCUACCUAUAAGACUGGGAUAACUUCGGGAAACCGGAGCUAAUACCGGAUAAUAUUUUGAACCGCAUGGUUCAAAAGUGAAAGACGGUCUUGCUGUCACUUAUAGAUGGAUCCGCGCUGCAUUAGCUAGUUGGUAAGGUAACGGCUUACCAAGGCAACGAUGCAUAGCCGACCUGAGAGGGUGAUCGGCCACACUGGAACUGAGACACGGUCCAGACUCCUACGGGAGGCAGCAGUAGGGAAUCUUCCGCAAUGGGCGAAAGCCUGACGGAGCAACGCCGCGUGAGUGAUGUAGGUCUUCGGAUCGUAAAACUCUGUUAUUAGGGAAGAACAUAUGUGUAAGUAAAUGUGCACAUCUUGACGGUACCUAAUCAGAAAGCCACGGCUAACUACGUG
rnacentral:rRNA from 1 species